AACUCUAUAUUACUGAUCUCCUUAACCUCUCUGUUAUCAAGAACGUAGGGAAAUGCGAUAAUUGGUAUGAAUUUUAGAAUCUCGUGAAUGAUUGAGUCUUUGAGAGUAAGUUACGCCCAAAACCAUUAAGUCGAUGGCACAUGUACCUAGGUGUCA
rnacentral:rRNA from 2 species